rnacentral:rRNA from 1 species
AAUACUAGAGUUUGAUCCUGGCUCAGGACGAACGCUGGCGGCGUGCCUAAUACAUGCAAGUCGAGCGGACAGAUGGGAGCUUGCUCCCUGAUGUUAGCGGCGGACGGGUGAGUAACACGUGGGUAACCUGCCUGUAAGACUGGGAUAACUCCGGGAAACCGGGGCUAAUACCGGAUGGUUGUUUGAACCGCAUGGUUCAAACAUAAAAGGUGGCUUCGGCUACCACUUACAGAUGGACCCGCGGCGCAUUAGCUAGUUGGUGAGGUAACGGCUCACCAAGGCAACGAUGCGUAGCCGACCUGAGAGGGUGAUCGGCCACACUGGGACUGAGACACGGCCCAGACUCCUACGGGAGGCAGCAGUAGGGAAUCUUCCGCAAUGGACGAAAGUCUGACGGAGCAACGCCGCGUGAGUGAUGAAGGUUUUCGGAUCGUAAAGCUCUGUUGUUAGGGAAGAACAAGUACCGUUCGAAUAGGGCGGUACCUUGACGGUACCUAACCAGAAAGCCACGGCUAACUACGUGCCAGCAGCCGCGGUAAUACGUAGGUGGCAAGCGUUGUCCGGAAUUAUUGGGCGUAAAGGGCUCGCAGGCGGUUUCUUAAGUCUGAUGUGAAAGCCCCCGGCUCAACCGGGGAGGGUCAUUGGAAACUGGGGAACUUGAGUGCAGAAGAGGAGAGUGGAAUUCCACGUGUAGCGGUGAAAUGCGUAGAGAUGUGGAGGAACACCAGUGGCGAAGGCGACUCUCUGGUCUGUAACUGACGCUGAGGAAGCGAAAGCGUGGGGAGCGAACAGGAUUUAGAUACCCCUGGUAGUCCACGCCGUAAACGAUGAGUGCUAAGUGUUAAGGGGUUUCCGCCCC